rnacentral:rRNA from 1 species
CGGGGGACAGGGUGACAGGUGGUGCAUGGUUGUCGUCAGCUCGUGUCGUGAGAUGUUGGGUUAAGUCCCGCAAACGAGCGCAACCCUCGACCUUAGUUGCCGGCAUUCAGUUGGGCACUCUAAGGUGACUGCCGGCUAAAAGUCGGAGGAAGGUGGGGAUGACGUCAAAUCAUCAUGCCCCUUAUGACCUGGGCUACACACGUGCUACAAUGGGCGGUACAAAGGGUCGCGAACCCGCGAGGGGGAGCCAAUCCCAAAAAGCCGCUCUCAGUUCGGAUUGCAGGCUGCAACUCGCCUGCAUGAAGCCGGAAUCGCUAGUAAUCGCGGAUCAGAACGCCGCGGUGAAUACGUUCUCGGGGUUU